GCCGGAACAGCUCAGUUGGGAGAGCGUUAGACUGAAGUUGUUAACCCAACAGUCAUCUUAUCGCCCCCGGUUCAAUCCAGGGUUCCGGCA
rnacentral:tRNA from 1 species